rnacentral:rRNA from 1 species
GGGUUGUGAGGUUAAGCGACUAAGCGUACACGGUGGAUGCCCUGGCAGUCAGAGGCGAUGAAGGACGUGCUAAUCUGCGAAAAGCGUCGGUAAGGUGAUAUGAACCGUUAUAGCCGGCGAUGUCCGAAUGGGGAAACCCAGUGUGAUUCGUCACACUAUCGUUAACUGAAUACAUAGGUUAACGAGGCGAACCGGGGGAACUGAAACAUCUAAGUACCCCGAGGAAAAGAAAUCAACCGAGAUUCCCCCAGUAGCGGCGAGCGAACGGGGAGCAGCCCAGAGUUUGAAUCAGCUUGUGUGUUAGUGGAACGGUCUGGAAAGUCCGACGGUACAGGGUGAUAGUCCCGUACACCAAAAUGCACAGGCUGUGAACUCGAAGAGUAGGGCGGGACACGUGGUAUCCUGUCUGAAUAUGGGGGGACCAUCCUCCAAGGCUAAAUACUCCUGACUGACCGAUAGUGAACCAGUACCGUGAGGGAAAGGCGAAAAGAACCCCGGCGAGGGGAGUGAAAAAGAACCUGAAACCGUGUACGUACAAGCAGUGGGAGCACCUUCGGGUGUGACUGCGUACCUUUUGUAUAAUGGGUCAGCGACUUAUAUUCUGUAGCAAGGUUAACCGUAUAGGGGAGCCGCAGGGAAACCGAGUCUUAACUGGGCGUUAAGUUGCAGGGUAUAGACCCGAAACCCGGUGAUCUAGCCAUGGGCAGGUUGAAGGUUGGGUAACACUAACUGGAGGACCGAACCGACUAAUGUUGAAAAAUUAGCGGAUGACUUGUGGCUGGGGGUGAAAGGCCAAUCAAACCGGGAGAUAGCUGGUUCUCCCCGAAAGCUAUUUAGGUAGCGCCUCGUGAAUUCAUCUUCGGGGGUAGAGCACUGUUUCGGCUAGGGGGUCAUCCCGACUUACCAACCCGAUGCAAACUACGAAUACCGAAGAAUGUUAUCACGGGAGACACACGGCGGGUGCUAACGUCCGUCGUGAAGAGGGAAACAACCCAGACCGCCAGCUAAGGUCCCAAAGUCAUGGUUAAGUGGGAAACGAUGUGGGAAGGCACAGACAGCCAGGAUGUUGGCUUAGAAGCAGCCAUCAUUUAAAGAAAGCGUAAUAGCUCACUGGUCGAGUCGGCCUGCGCGGAAGAUGUAACGGGGCUAAACCAUGCACCGAAGCUGCGGCAGCGACACUAUGUGUUGUUGGGUAGGGGAGCGUUCUGUAAGCCUGCGAAGGUGACCUGUGAGGGUUGCUGGAGGUAUCAGAAGUGCGAAUGCUGACAUAAGUAACGAUAAAGCGGGUGAAAAGCCCGCUCGCCGGAAGACCAAGGGUUCCUGUCCAACGUUAAUCGGGGCAGGGUGAGUCGACCCCUAAGGCGAGGCCGAAAGGCGUAGUCGAUGGGAAACAGGUUAAUAUUCCUGUACUUGGUGUUACUGCGAAGGGGGGACGGAGAAGGCUAUGUUAGCCGGGCGACGGUUGUCCCGGUUUAAGCAUGUAGGCUGGUUAUCCAGGCAAAUCCGGAUAAUCAAGGCUGAGGUGUGAUGACGAGGCACUACGGUGCUGAAGUAACAAAUGCCCUGCUUCCAGGAAAAGCCUCUAAGCAUCAGGUAACAUCAAAUCGUACCCCAAACCGACACAGGUGGUCAGGUAGAGAAUACCAAGGCGCUUGAGAGAACUCGGGUGAAGGAACUAGGCAAAAUGGUGCCGUAACUUCGGGAGAAGGCACGCUGGUGUGUAGGUGAAGUCCCUGCGGAUGGAGCUGAGACCAGUCGAAGAUACCAGCUGGCUGCAACUGUUUAUUAAAAACACAGCACUGUGCAAACACGAAAGUGGACGUAUACGGUGUGACGCCUGCCCGGUGCCGGAAGGUUAAUUGAUGGGGUUAUCCGUAAGGAGAAGCUCUUGAUCGAAGCCCCGGUAAACGGCGGCCGUAACUAUAACGGUCCUAAGGUAGCGAAAUUCCUUGUCGGGUAAGUUCCGACCUGCACGAAUGGCGUAAUGAUGGCCAGGCUGUCUCCACCCGAGACUCAGUGAAAUUGAACUCGCUGUGAAGAUGCAGUGUACCCGCGGCAAGACGGAAAGACCCCGUGAACCUUUACUAUAGCUUGACACUGAACAUUGAGCCUUGAUGUGUAGGAUAGGUGGGAGGCUUUGAAGCGUGGACGCCAGUCUGCGUGGAGCCAACCUUGAAAUACCACCCUUUAAUGUUUGAUGUUCUAACGUUGGCCCCUUACCGGGGUUGCGGACAGUGUCUGGUGGGUAGUUUGACUGGGGCGGUCUCCUCCCAAAGCGUAACGGAGGAGCACGAAGGUUAGCUAAUCCUGGUCGGACAUCAGGAGGUUAGUGCAAUGGCAUAAGCUAGCUUGACUGCGAGCGUGACGGCGCGAGCAGGUGCGAAAGCAGGUCAUAGUGAUCCGGUGGUUCUGAAUGGAAGGGCCAUCGCUCAACGGAUAAAAGGUACUCCGGGGAUAACAGGCUGAUACCGCCCAAGAGUUCAUAUCGACGGCGGUGUUUGGCACCUCGAUGUCGGCUCAUCACAUCCUGGGGCUGAAGUAGGUCCCAAGGGUAUGGCUGUUCGCCAUUUAAAGUGGUACGCGAGCUGGGUUUAGAACGUCGUGAGACAGUUCGGUCCCUAUCUGCCGUGGGCGCUGGAGAAUUGAGGGGGGCUGCUCCUAGUACGAGAGGACCGGAGUGGACGCAUCACUGGUGUUCGGGUUGUCAUGCCAAUGGCACUGCCCGGUAGCUAAAUGCGGAAGAGAUAAGUGCUGAAAGCAUCUAAGCACGAAACUUGCCCCGAGAUGAGUUCUCCCUGAGACUUUAAGUCUCCUGAAGGAACGUUGAAGACGACGACGUUGAUAGGCCGGGUGUGUAAGCGCAGCGAUGCGUUGAGCUAACCGGUACUAAUGAACCGUGAGGCUUAACCUUACAACGCCGAAG